UACGUAGGGUGCAAGCGUUGUCCGGAAUUAUUGGGCGUAAAGAGCUCGUAGGCGGUCUGUCGCGUCUGCUGUGAAAACUCGGGGCUUAACCCCGGGCCUGCAGUGGGUACGGGCAGACUAGAGUGCGGUAGGGGAGACUGGAAUUCCUGGUGUAGCGGUGAAAUGCGUAGAGAUCAUGAGGAAGACCAGUGGCGAAGGCGGGUCUCUGGACAGUUCCUGACACUGAGGCACGAAGGCCAGGGGAGCAAACGGG
rnacentral:rRNA from 1 species